AUUGAACGCUGGCGGCAGGCCUAACACAUGCAAGUCGAACGAGUGGCGGACGGGUGAGUAAUGUCUGGGAAACUGCCCGAUGGAGGGGGAUAACUACUGGAAACGGUAGCUAAUACCGCAUACCAUCGGAUGUGCCCAGAUGGGAUUAGCUAGUAGGUGGGGUAACGGCUCACCUAGGCGACGAUCCCUAGCUGGUCUGAGAGGAUGACCAGCCACACUGGAACUGAGACACGGUCCAGACUCCUACGGGAGGCAGCAGUGGGGAAUUUUGGACAAUGGGGGAAAGCCUGAUCCAGCCAUCCCGCGUGUGCGAUGAAGGCCUUCGGGUUGUAAAGCACUUUUGGCAGGGAGGCGGUACCUGCAGAAGAAGCACCGGCUAACUACGUGCCAGCAGCCGCGGUAAUAC
rnacentral:rRNA from 1 species